GGCUUAACAACAUCAUUAAUAAAUAAACCUUUAACCAAUAAGGUAAUCAGUAAGUCAUAAAGACAGCUGGUACCAUCAAAACUGAAAAUCAUUUCUUGUACACAAAUUAUGGAAAAUAAAUGUUGCAUGGAACUCAACUAACAAGAACACCUUUAAACCAAAGAUUAUCACAAAUUAUAGAAACAAUUUGUGCCAAAGAUUAUCACAAAUAUUGGCCUUUAAACCAAAGAAUUCUUUAAUAUUGGCCUUUAAACCAAAGAAUUCUUUUUGACCAGACAGAUAUUUAGGGUUUACGGUUUAGGUAUUUACCGGUCCGGGUGAAUCAGUAUGAGACCGACCAUUUUGGGCGGUCGUGUCCAGGUCAUGUAUAAACGAAAAAAAAUUUCUCGCCCUCAUCUCCCUAAUCAUGAGCCUCGACUCAACAUGUUGUCUCCCUCACCUCCCUGCCACCUGCUGCAGCCUACCACCUAGCAGGACCAUGCGUCAUCGACCGGAGAUACUCAUCUUCUUCUCCUCCUUCCUCUUCCUCCAUGGCCUCCUCUUAGUCCUUCCUCCACUGCCUCUUCUUCUUCCUUCCUCUUCCUCCUCCUCCAUCAUCUCCCUCUCCCCCUCCUCUUCCUCCACUGCAUCUUCUUCUUCUUCCUCUUUCUCUUCCUCCUCUUCCUCCAUCGCCUCCUCUUCUUCCUUCCUCUCCCUCCUCUUCCUUCCUCUCCCUCCUCUUCCUUCCUCUUCUCCUUAUUCUUCCUUCCUCUUCGGUACAUACCACUAUAUCAUGUGUUGGUACACUGUCAACGGUCAGUACACCAGUAACGGUCACGAAAUUGCAAUCCUUGCUUUAAUCAAUGAUGAAUUGAACUAAACCCAAACCUCAAAUUUACAAAUAUAUUGAAAGCAAAACUAAUAGUAAAAAAAAAGCAUUAGAUAACAAAUAUCAAUCACCAGAUUUUGGUACCAGUGAACAAGAGUAGGCAUUACAUAAAAUAAUCAGGUUUGGGUACCAGGUUUCUAAUUCAUGGAAAACUUUAGUGGUCAUGAAUGUGUUCAAAUUUACAAUCAGUAGUAUAUGUGGUAGAUAAUCUAAGAGAUAAAUCAUUUUA
rnacentral:lncRNA from 1 species